rnacentral:rRNA from 1 species
UCCUACGGGAGGCUGCAGUGGGGAAUAUUGCGCAAUGGGGGAAACCCUGACGCAGCGACGCCGCGUGAGCGAAGAAGGCCUUAGGGUUGUAAAGCUCUGUUUUAAGGGACGAAUGUCACCUUAAGUAAUAUGUAAGGUGAAUGACGGUACCUUAAGAGGAAGCCCCGGCUAACUACGUGCCAGCAGCCGCGGUAAGACGUAGGGGGCGAGCGUUGUCCGGAAUUACUGGGCGUAAAGGGCACGUAGGCGGGAAGUUAAGGUAGGUGGGAAAGGCCGGGGCUCAACCUCGGGUAUGCACUUGAAACUGGGUUUCUUGAGGGCAGGAGAGGAAAGCAGAAUUCCUGGUGUAGCGGUGAAAUGCGUAGAAAUCAGGAGGAAUACCAGUGGCGAAGGCGGCUUUCUGGACUGACCCUGACGCUGAGGUGCGAAAGCGUGGGUAGCAAACAGGAUUAGAUACCCGGGUAGUCGC